rnacentral:lncRNA from 1 species
GCUUAUUGGACAGCAGUUAGUUCAGGGAGUAGGGGAGCUGAUGAUCCUGUGUGUACUGAUAUGUUAGUAUGGGUGGGAAGGAGAGCAAUGCUGAGGAGACUAGUGAUGAGUUAGACGUUAAAUGGGAAGUAGAGGAGAGGGUCGUAUGUAAGAGUGGAACACUGCCUGUGGGAAUACCAGCAUGGAGAUUUUAGUCAACAAUUGUAUCACGUCAUAUAUUUGAUAUCUUGGUAAAAGCUGUGUAAUAACUUCAUUGCUUGAGAUACUAAAUGCGUGGCUGGGGACCCUCACGUUUCUUGCUCGACGUGCAGCCAUUUCACCUUUGCACAGGAGAAGGGCGGCCUAAUGUUUCCUGCAAGCAAUUUUUUGAUGGGAAGUUCUCCCUGCAGGAGUGAACAAGGGGAGCAACAUUUAGACACCUGGGGAGGGGGAUAUUUAUUUUCGUCUUUAUUCAUUCCUUAUAAGGACGGGCAAGCUGGGUGCUCUUAUGGAAAUUCCAAUCCAGACUUGGCGGUGGCUGAAAGGAUGAAGAAAUUAAAAUACUAGGGAUGCAGGGUUGUAGCGGGGCCUUGUGAGGGAAAGAGAAUUCCUGGACCCGGGGCCAGAAAAUGCAAAUUCAAGUCGUUCAUAAAACUCUGUUCUGUUAAAGGAAGGAUGCAGAGGUCAUGAGGGAGCAGAAAGGUUGAGUCAGGUGUAGAUUAGAAGAGAGGCCAUAUGAUAGGUAGGAUUUGAGUUGGGGGGGGGUCCGCAGGGGAGGAAGGGAGGGAGAAGGGAACUAGGAUUGUCAUGUAAUUCAAUCUUGUUUGAAAUUCAAAUAUAUAAAAAACAAAAAACUACCUGGACACAUGGGGAAGGGCCUAGGCCUGGCCCAGGAUGACGUGGUAGACUUUGGGGAGCCCCUUUUGAGGGCCUUACUCUGUCUGGG